rnacentral:lncRNA from 1 species
AGACAGGGAACAAACCGACUCUGCCAUGGACAAGUCCAGACCAUCAUCAUCGGCUUGGCCGGCAAAUGACUUUUACUUCAGAGACUCUUGAAUUUGAUCAUGGCCAAGCAAUCUCACAGUAACAAUGAAUUUGAUCAGAGGCAGGCAGAAGAAGAGUUUCAGGCUCGUCUCUGAAUUCAUUCAGUUCAAAGCAAGAAGACAGACAAGUCAAGUUUCAGACUCAACUCUUCUUUUUUCUCUUCAGAGUUGGACCCGACAGGGAACAAACUCCCUCACUUCUCACAUCUCAUAUCAUACAUCGCCAGAAGACACAUAGUGACACUGAUAUAUUUGACCCAAGAGUCAAACAAGAACGACACCGACACUACCAGACUAACUUCGACUGGACACGCAGCGACCAACAACCACUAGAACUCACUCACCCAUGGACGCACACGACACUGCUCAUCUUCUUCUCCUCCUGGUUGGAAUGAAAUGAGAUUCUUCAAGAGAUUCAGUCCACCUCCUCCAUCUUGCUCUCCUCGGCACCCUCCUCCUCCAGCGCCGCCAUGUCGGCGUCCUCCUCCUCCGCGCCAUCGGCGGAAUCGUCGAUGUUGAGCCCGAGCUUGAGCAUGCGGUGGAUCCUGGCGGCGAAGGUGUUGGGGUCGUCCAGGCUGAACCCGGAGGUGAGCAGCGCCGUCUCGAACAGCAGCAUCACCAGGUCCUUGACGGACUUGUCGUUCCUGUCGGCGUCGGCGCGCUUGCGGAGCUCCUCCAUGAUGCCGUUCUCCGGGUUGAUCUCCAUCGUCUUCUUGCUCGACAUGUAGGCGCCCAUGCUGCUGUCCCGCAGGGCCUGCGCCUUCAUGAUCCGCUCCAUGUUGGCCGUCCACCCGUACUCGCCGGUCACCAGGCAGCACGGCGAGUCCACGAUGCGGUCGGAUACAACGACCUUCUCCACCUUGUCGCCGAGGAUGUCCUUGAUGGUCUUGCAGAGGCCCUCGAACGCCGCCUUCUUCUCCUCCCUGCGCUUCUUUUCUUCUUCGGUUUCUUCGUCGAGCUUGAGGCCCUCCUUGGUGGCGGACACCAGCUUCUUGCCGUCGUACUCCUUGAGCUGCCCCACGGCGUACUCGUCGAUGGCGUCCACCAUGAAGAGCACCUCGUAGCCGCGCCUCUUGAGGCGCUCCAGGAAGGG